rnacentral:misc_RNA from 1 species
GUAGGUGAACCUGCGGAUGGAUCAUUAACAAUAUUUUUAUAAUAUUUAACACUUGUGAACUGAACUGUACGGGAGUUUAUCUCCCAGUUUUAUAAUUAUUUUAACUGAAUUCAUGAUUUUAAUAACAAUCAUAAAACUUUUAGCAACGGAUCUCUAGGCUCUC